rnacentral:tRNA from 1 species
GGCCCAUAGCUCAGCGGUUAGAGCAGGCGACUCAUAAUGCUUUGGUUGCCGACCCGAUCCUGGUUGGGCC